UACGUAGGUCCGAGCGUUGUCCGGAAUUAUUGGGCGUAAAGGGCUCGUAGGCGGUUCGUCACGUCGGGAGUGAAAACUCGGGGCUUAACCCCGAGCCUGCUUCCGAUACGGGCAGACUAGAGGUAGGCAGGGGAGAGCGGAACUCCUGGUGUAGCGGUGGAAUGCGCAGAUAUCAGGAGGAACACCAAUUGCGAAGGCAGCUCGCUGGGACGUUACUGACGCUGAGGAGCGAAAGCAUGGGGAGCGAACAGG
rnacentral:rRNA from 1 species